GCAGUGCUGCCACUUCAUGUGGGACCCACUGCUCUGGCUGGCAGGUCAAUGGUCUAUACAUAGAUUCCCUUGUGGCAGAUGAGCCUACCCAUAUCAAGGGAACCCAGUGGAGACCUUUACUGGGACCCUAAGUUGGAGACUGGCCAGUGCCAUUUUGACUCCUGCAGACAGCUUAUCUUCACAGAUGCCGGAAAGGACAGAACUCUUAAGUCAUCUCUCGGCUCACCUGAGACAAAUGCAUAUCUGAUUGUUUCCUCUGAUGUAAAAAUGCAGAUUCACUGAGCUAGAGGAAGGCGGGUGAAUAUUCUUACAAAGAAUAACACGGUAGCAGAAUCUGUUGCUGGACUUGUUUUCAUCUAUAAGAGCUGGGGAGCUAAAGGAUAAUAGAGGACAUUAUUUAGAGCCAACAGCAUGGAGAAGAAGAACAAUAAUAUCUUCACCUGAAUUUUUGUCUGGUAUCCUGGCCAAACUAUAUGGGUUGAAUAAAUUCAAAGCUUGAUCCUGAGCUGUUAGAGAUUAUUUCAU